GAUGAACGCUGACAGCAUGCUUAACACAUCAGCAAUUGAUUGGUGGCGGACGGGUGAGUAACGCGUAAAGAACUUGCCUCACAGGUAGGGACAACAUUUGGAAACGAAUGCUAAUACCUAAUACUGUGAGAGAGCUUUUCGUCCUAUUAGCUAGUUGGAGAGGUAACGGCUCACCAAGGCGAUGAUGGGUAGCCGGCCUGAGAGGGUGAUCGGCCACAGAGGGACUGGGACACGGCCCUUACUGCUUCGGGGGGCAGCAGUGGGGAAUAUUGGACAAUGGACCACAGUGUGAUCCAGCGUUUCUGUGUGUACGAUGAAGUUUUCGGAAUGUAAAGUGCUUUCAGUUAGGAAGCGGUACCAACAGAAGAAGUGACGGCUAAAUACGUGCCAGCAGCCGCGGUAAUUC
rnacentral:rRNA from 1 species